rnacentral:tRNA from 1 species
GCCCCUGUAGCUCAACGGACAGAGCAGCCGCCUUCUAAGCGGUUGGUUGCAGGUUCAAGUCCUGCCAGGGGCA